GGGGCUGUAGCUCCGUGGUAGAGUGCCUGCCUAGCAUGCAUGAGGCACUGGGUUCCAUCCUCAGCAUCCCA
rnacentral:tRNA from 1 species